GUGGGCUGGAGGUGGGAAGGGUUGUGUGUGCAGGUGGUGGGUAGUGCCCCUGCCACACGUACAGAUCCAGGGCAUCUCCUCUGGACCCCUCCCAGGGACUGUAAAACUUUACUAUGGGAACAGACUCAGUAGUAUUUUGGGGCAGCGGGAAUGGUUCUUUACUAAUGCCUAAGAUCACUUAACAGGGCAGAAGCCAUAAUUGGGCAGACCUUACGGGCCAAGAAUCUUUUGCACUUUAUCUGAUUUAAUCUGCACCCUGUGAGGUAGGUGGCAUUACCCGCUUUCAUGUGUUAGGAAAUGUGUGUAAAGAUCAGUAACUUGCCCAGGGUCACCCAACUAGUAGCUAAAGUGGCUAAAGUCCCAGGUCUGUCACUCUAACCACCCAGAGUGGCCUUACCCUGUACAUUCUCACCCUGUACAUUCUCACCCUUACCCUGUACAUUCUCACCCUGCUGCCCCUCUGAAAUAGUCACUGCUGGCUUCCCUAGCUGAGGACACUGGGCACAAAGGCUGGGCUUCUGGAUUGCAAGUCUGUGCUUGCAGCCUGAGGCCCACUCUAAGGGAAGGCAGAUGGCCUGCCUCUCCUUUCUGCAAAACCCCCUGCCACCUGCUGCGUGCUGCCAGCCUGACUCACUGACUCCAGCUACCUCUGGGCCUCUGGCCCUUCUAGGAUGGGCUUGUUUUCCAGGAAAGGGUUUGGAGAUUAAGAUAAGCCAGCUGCCUCCAGUGAAAGGCCCUGCUGCCUUGGAAAGGGCCGGGAAGGCUGCCAUUCCAGCUCCUUGGUUUGCUCGCUUCUCUCCGUGGCUGGGGCUGCCUCGCCUUUCAUCCGUCCCUGCCUAUCGUUGGGCAUGAAUAAUGAGGCUCUUUGGAGACAGGCAUAGGACUCCCUGCAGAGCGAGGGAUUUGUAAAAUGGGUGCCCAAGCUCCCUCUGGGGCUCCGGCUCCCUCAUGUCUCUGUCUGUUCUUCCUGGGGAAGCUGCUGCUUGUAUUUAGAUAAUGAAGAACUAGAAAACAGACCUGGCCUCCUUUCAACCUGCCGCUUCCUCCAGCCUGGGUAGGAUCCAAAGCUCUGGCCUUCCUAAGCAGUGCUUGUUCCUGACUUACACAUGGAUGGUUUUCUAAACUAAGUUCAUUUUCUGAAGCAGAGAAUGAAUAACUCACUCUACUACCUCCUCCCCUUCAUGGCAAAAUUUUUUCUUUUGUCUGUAUUUUCACGGCUGCUGGAUUCUAAAAUCAAGGUGCAAGUUGCUUUGGGGCUUACUAAAGUCCCGUGGCCUUCCCAGGCCCUGUGGAAAGGUUAGAUGCACCCCAGAUAACCAGGGUUGGUUAUUCCCUGUGAGAGAGUCAGAGGGGUGCAGGCUGGAAGCAUAGCGCUCCUCCACCCCUGCGCUGGUCAUCAUGUGGAGCGUGUGCUUUCUAAGAAGUGCCAGCCUGUGUCCAGAGCCUGCUGGGCAGAUGUUAAGCCAGCUGUGGACUUAGUCACAGUGACUCUGCUACCAACAACAGCAACAUGGACAUUUAGGGAGGAGCAAAUGAGAGGAAGGAAGAAAUAGGCAAGAUAACAAGGCUUGACAUCUGAUCUCUGGGCAUUUCCAAUGGAGGGAUUUGGUUUGUUUAUGUUUCCACCACCAAGAAUUAACAGUGGUUAACAGCUGUUCAUAUCUGUCUGCUUUACAUUUUUAAAUAAACAUUACAGAUAAAAUUGAAGUUCUCUUUUUGUCCCUCA
ensembl:lncRNA novel transcript